UACGUAGGUGGCAAGCGUUGUCCGGAUUUACUGGGCGUAAAGGGCGCGCAGGCGGCACAUUUUGUCAGGCGUGAAAGCCCCGGGCUUAACCUGGGAACUGCGUUUGAUACGGAUGGGCUAGAGUUCGGGAGAGGAGAGUGGAAUUCCCAGUGUAGAGGUGAAAUUCGUAGAUAUCAAGCGGAACACCGGUGGCGAAGGCGGCCUUCUGGACGAUGACUGACGCUGAGACGCGAAAGCGUGGGGAGCAAACAGG
rnacentral:rRNA from 1 species